rnacentral:rRNA from 1 species
GUUUUCCGCGCCGUAGCUAACGCAUUAAGUGCCCCGCCUGGGGAGUACGGCCGCAAGGCUAAAACUCAAAGGAAUUGACGGGGGCCCGCACAAGCGGUGGAGCAUGUGGCUUAAUUCGAUGCAACGCGAGGAACCUUACCUGGGCUAAAUCUACAGCGCUACCUCUGGAAACAGAGGGUUCUCUAUGAGACGCUAUAGAAGGUGCUGCAUGGCUGUCGUCAGCUCGUGCCGUGA